AGAGUUUGAUCAUGGCUCAGGACGAACGCUGGCGGCGUGCUUAACACAUGCAAGUCGCGCGAUUCUCGAAGUUCGGGGUUGGGAGUUCGAACCUCGAACUUCGAACCUCGAACUUCGAGAAUAGCGGCGGACGGGUGAGUAACACGUGGAUAACCUACCCAUUAGACCAGGAUAACACCGGGAAACUGGUGCUAAUACCGGAUAAGCUCUUUAGAGUAAAAGCCUUAAAGAGGAAAGGGGAAACUCACUAAUGGAUGGGUCCGCGUCCUAUUAGCUAGUUGGUAGGGUAACGGCCUACCAAGGCGACGAUGGGUAGCCGGCCCUGAGAGGGUGACCGGCCACACUGGGACUGAGACACGGGCCCAGACUNCCUACGGGGAAGGCAGCAGUGGGGGAAUAUUCCCGCAAUGGGGGAAACCCCUGACGGGAGCAUUGCCGCGUGAGUGAAGAAGGCUUUGGGGUCGUAAACCUCUUGUCCUUGAGGAACGAAAAAAUUGACGGUCCUUCAAAGGAAAGCCCGGGCUACCUACGUGCCAGCA
rnacentral:rRNA from 1 species